UACGUAGGGGGCAAGCGUUGUCCGGAAUCAUUGGGCGUAAAGAGCGUGUAGGCGGCUCGGUAAGUCCGCUCUGAAAGCCCGGGGCUCAACCCCGGGUCGGCAGUCGAUACGGGCAGGCUAGAGUUCGGUAGGGGAGACUGGAAUUCCUGGUGUAGCGGUGAAAUGCGCAGAUAUCAGGAGGAACACCGGUGGCGAAGGCGGGUCUCUGGGCCGAUACUGACGCUGAGGAGCGAAAGCGUGGGGAGCGAACAGG
rnacentral:rRNA from 1 species